AACGAACGCUGGCGGCAGGCCUAACACAUGCAAGUCGAGCGAGGACUUCGGUUCUAGCGGCGGACGGGUGAGUAACGCGUGGGAAUGUGCCCUUCUCUACGGAAUAGCCCUGGGAAACUGGGAGUAAUACCGUAUACGCCCUAUUGGGGAAAGAUUUAUCGGAGAAGGAUCAGCCCGCGUUGGAUUAGGUAGUUGGUGGGGUAAUGGCCUACCAAGCCGACGAUCCAUAGCUGGUUUGAGAGGAUGAUCAGCCACACUGGGACUGAGACACGGCCCAGACUCCUACGGGAGGCAGCAGUGGGGAAUCUUAGACAAUGGGGGCAACCCUGAUCUAGCCAUGCCGCGUGAGUGAUGAAGGCCUUAGGGUUGUAAAGCUCUUUCAGCUGGGAAGAUAAUGACGGUACCAGCAGAAUAAGCCCCGGCUAACUCCGUG
rnacentral:rRNA from 1 species